rnacentral:rRNA from 1 species
GACGAACGCUGGCGGCGUGCUUAACACAUGCAAGUCGAACGAUGAAGCUGGAGCUUGCUCCGGUGGAUUAGUGGCGAACGGGUGAGUAACACGUGAGCAAUCUGCCCUUGACUCUGGGAUAACUGCGGGAAACUGUAGCUAAUACCGGAUACGAGGCUCGAAGGCAUCUUCGGGUCUGGAAAGAAUUUCGGUCAAGGAUGAGCGCGCGGCCUAUCAGCUUGUUGGUGAGGUAAUGGCUCACCAAGGCGACGACGGGUAGCCGGACUGAGAGGGUGGCCGGCCACACUGGGACUGAGACACGGCCCAGACUCCUACGGGAGGCAGCAGUGGGGAAUAUUGCACAAUGGGCGAAAGCCUGAUGCAGCAACGCCGCGUGAGGGAUGAAGGCCUUCGGGUUGUAAACCUCUUUUAGCAGGGAAGAAGCGAAAGUGACGGUACCUGCAGAGAAAGCACCGGCUAACUACGUGCCAGCCGCCGCGGUAA